UACGAGGGGGGCAAGCGUUGUUCGGAAUUAUUGGGCGUAAAGGGUGCGUAGGCGGUCUGACAAGUCUGAUGUGAAAUCUAUGGGCUCAACCCAUAGUCUGCAUCGGAAACUGUCGGGCUUGAGUAUGGGAGAGGUGAGUGGAAUUUCCGGUGUAGCGGUGAAAUGCGUAGAUAUAGGAAGGAACACCAGUGGCGAAGGCGACCACCUGGACUGAUACUGACACUGAGGUGCGAAAGCGUGGGGAGCAAACAGG
rnacentral:rRNA from 1 species